rnacentral:tRNA from 1 species
CCAAGAAAGUUACUACUAACACUUAGGUCGUGACCCUAAAAACAAGAAUUUAUUUCUUCCUGGCU